rnacentral:rRNA from 1 species
CCUACGGGUGGCUGCAGUGGGGAAUAUUGCACAAUGGGCGCAAGCCUGAUGCAGCCAUGCCGCGUGUAUGAAGAAGGCCUUCGGGUUGUAAAGUACUUUCAGCGGGGAGGAAGGGAGUAAAGUUAAUACCUUUGCUCAUUGACGUUACCCGCAGAAGAAGCACCGGCUAACUCCGUGCCAGCAGCCGCGGUAAUACGGAGGGUGCAAGCGUUAAUCGGAAUUACUGGGCGUAAAGCGCACGCAGGCGGUUUGUUAAGUCAGAUGUGAAAUCCCCGGGCUCAACCUGGGAACUGCAUCUGAUACUGGCAAGCUUGAGUCUCGUAGAGGGGGGUAGAAUUCCAGGUGUAGCGGUGAAAUGCGUAGAGAUCUGGAGGAAUACCGGUGGCGAAGGCGGCCCCCUGGACGAAGACUGACGCUCAGGUGCGAAAGCGUGGGGAGCAAACAGGAUUAGAUACCCAAGUAGUC